rnacentral:rRNA from 1 species
UGAGUAACCUGCCCUUCACUCUGGGAUAACUCCGGGAAACCGGGGCUAAUACUGGAUACGACCUACUCGGGCAUCCGAUGUGGGUGGAAAGUUUUCGGUGGGGGAUGUGCUCGCGGCCUAUCAGCUUGAUGGUGGGGUAAUGGCCUACCAUGGCUUCGACGGGUAGCCGGCCUGAGAGGGUGACCGGCCACACUGGGACUGAGACACGGCCCAGACUCCUACGGGAGGCAG